rnacentral:rRNA from 1 species
GGAAGGAUCAUUAUUGAAUACGAAUUGGUUCUAGAUGCUGGCCCUUCACCGGGCAUGUGCUCGUUCCAAAUCUAUUUAUCUUCUCUUGUGCACCUUUUGUAGUCUUUGAAAAAAGUGAACCCCUCGCAGCGAUGCGGUCUGGGAGGAUGGGCGCCAGCUCUUCUCCUGCUUGCUUUCUUCAAGGCUAUGUUUUCAUAUACACUAUAAAGUUACAGAAUGUCUUUUAAAGAUUGUCGCGCGAGCGCAGUCAUUAAACCUAUACAACUUUCAGCAACGGAUCUCUUGGCUCUCCCAUCGAUGAAGAACGCAGCGAAAUGCGAUAAGUAAUGUGAAUUGCAGAAUUCAGUGAAUCAUCGAAUCUUUGAACGCACCUUGCGCCCUUUGGUAUUCCGAAGGGCAUGCGCUGUUUGAGUGUCAUUAAAUUCUCAACCUUGCUCGCUUUUACUAGCUUGAGUGAGGCUUGGAUGUGAGGGCUUGCUGGCUUCCUUCAGUGGAUGGUCUGCUCCCUUUAAAUGCAUUAGUGGGAUCUCUUGUGGACCGUCACUUGGUGUGAUAAUUAUCUAUGCCUCGUUGACUUUGAAGCAAAAUUAUGGGAACCUGCUUAUAACCGUCUCGCGAGGGACAACUUUCUGACAUUUUGACCUCAAAUCAGGUAGGACUACCCGCUGAACUUAAGCAUAUCAAUAAGCGGAGGAAAAGAAACUAACAAGGAUUCCCCUAGUAACUGCGAGUGAAGCGGGAAAAGCUCAAAUUUAAAAUCUGGCGGUCCCUGU